AUUGUACUCCCUCCGUUCGGAAUUACUUGUCGCAGAAAUGGAUGUAUUUAGACGUAUUUUAGUUCUAGAUACAUCCAUUUUCGAGACAAGUAAUUCCGAACGGAGGGAGUACCUG
rnacentral:pre_miRNA from 1 species